UACAUGGAUGUGCAGUCGUAGGUGUG
rnacentral:piRNA from 1 species